CUUUAAAGAAUUUUUUAAAAUUUUUAUUGAAAUUAAUUUUUGAUUUUUCAAUUGCUUUAAAUGUCGAAAAAACUUUUUAGAAAAUGGUUCAUCUUUUUUAAUAAUAUUUUAUUGAUCCUGAAGAUGAGGCAAUUAAGACCUCGAAAUAUAUAGGACAAAAAUAAAUAAAUAUUCGAAAAUAAAAAUAUGCGUUUUAAUUUAAACUGAACUUAAAAGAAGCAAAACAAAUAAGUAUAUUUGGCAAAUAUUCUACUGAUUUUUACCCUUGGAAUUCAUGUCCUGCGGCAGCGACGAUGACGACGACGGCGGCACCGGUGUGUUUGAAUUUGAAUUUAGCUGGACAACUCAACUCAAAUGGUUUGGAAUUUACUGGGGUGCUGCUGCUGCAAAAAAAUGAGGGUGAUGAUGAACAUGAACAUGGACAGGGACACAUCAUUUUUUGCUGUGGCGAAAUAAUAGACUUAGAUCAGCGAUGUCGAAAGUACUUUUAUUGUAACACGAUAAAG